rnacentral:misc_RNA from 1 species
CCCAACUAUCCCUAUUAAUCAUUACGACCGUUCCAGAAACCAACAAAAUAGAACUGUCGUCCUAUUUCAUUAUUCCAUGCUAAUGUAUUCAAGCGUAAGAGCCCGCUUUGAGCACUCUAAUUUUUUCAAGGUAAAGGUCCUGGUUCCCGACGACACCUAAUGAAAGGCAUCCCCGCUCGCCAGAAGGUGAGACCCGCGACGAGGCAGUGCUCGCCCAGAGGACGGACCGCCCGCACGGGCCUAAGGUUCAACUACGAGCUUUUUAACUGCAACAACUUUAAUAUACGCUAUUGGAGCUGGAAUUACCGCGGCUGCUGGCACCAGACUUGCCCUCCAA